rnacentral:rRNA from 1 species
GAUGAACGCUGACGGAAUGCUUAACACAUGCAAGUCAACUUGAAUUUGGGUUUUUAACUUAGGUUUGGGUGGCGGACGGGUGAGUAACGCGUAAAGAACUUGCCUCACAGCUAGGGACAACAUUUGGAAACGAAUGCUAAUACCUAAUAUUAUGAUAAUAGGGCAUCCUAUAAUUAUGAAAGCUAUAAGCGCUGUGAGAGAGCUUUGCGUCCCAUUAGCUAGUUGGAGAGGUAACGGCUCACCAAGGCGAUGAUGGGUAGCCGGCCUGAGAGGGUGAUCGGCCACAAGGGGACUGAGACACGGCCCUUACUCCUACGGGAGGCAGCAGUGGGGAAUAUUGGACAAUGGACCAAGAGUCUGAUCCAGCAAUUCUGUGUGCACGAUGAAGUUUUUCGGAAUGUAAAGUGCUUUCAGUUGGGAAGAAAGAAAUGACGGUACCAACAGAAGAAGUGACGGCUAAAUACGUG